rnacentral:rRNA from 1 species
CUUGCUACCUGACCUAGCGGCGGACGGGUGAGUAAUGCUUAGGAAUCUGCCUAUUAGUGGGGGACAACAUUCCGAAAGGAAUGCUAAUACCGCAUACGCCCUACGGGGGAAAGCAGGGGAUCUUCGGACCUUGCGCUAAUAGAUGAGCCUAAGUCAGAUUAGCUAGUUGGUGGGGUAAAGGCCUACCAAGGCGACGAUCUGUAGCGGGUCUGAGAGGAUGAUCCGCCACACUGGGACUGAGACACGGCCCAGACUCCUACGGGAGGCAGCAGUGGGGAAUAUUGGACAAUGGGCGAAAGCCUGAUCCAGCCAUGCCGCGUGUGUGAAGAAGGCCUUUUGGUUGUAAAGCACUUUAAGCGAGGAGGAGGCUACUUGGAUUAAUACUCUAGGAUAGUGGACGUUACUCGCAGAAUAAGCACCGGCUAACUCUGUGCCAGCAGCCGCGGUAAUACAGAGGGUGCGAGCGUUAAUCGGAUUUACUGGGCGUAAAGCGUGCGUAGGCGGCUUCUUAAGUCGGAUGUGAAAUCCCUGAGCUUAACUUAGGAAUUGCAUUCGAUACUGGGAAGCUAGAGUAUGGGAGAGGAUGGUAGAAUUCCAGGUGUAGCGGUGAAAUGCGUAGAGAUCUGGAGGAAUACCGAUGGCGAAGGCAGCCAUCUGGCCUAAUACUGACGCUGAGGUACGAAAGCAUGGGGAGCAAACAGGAUUAGAUACCCUGGUAGUCCAUGCCGUAAACGAUGUCUACUAGCCGUUGGGGCCUUUGAGGCUUUAGUGGCGCAGCUAACGCGAUAAGUAGACCGCCUGGGGAGUACGGUCGCAAGACUAAAACUCAAAUGAAUUGACGGGGGCCCGCACAAGCGGUGGAGCAUGUGGUUUAAUUCGAUGCAACGCGAAGAACCUUACCUGGUCUUGACAUAGUAAGAACUUUCCAGAGAUGGAUUGGUGCCUUCGGGAACUUACAUACAGGUGCUGCAUGGCUGUCGUCAGCUCGUGUCGUGAGAUGUUGGGUUAAGUCCCGCAACGAGCGCAACCCUUUUCCUUAUUUGCCAGCGGGUUAAGCCGGGAACUUUAAGGAUACUGCCAGUGACAAACUGGAGGAAGGCGGGGACGACGUCAAGUCAUCAUGGCCCUUACGACCAGGGCUACACACGUGCUACAAUGGUCGGUACAAAGGGUUGCUACCUAGCGAUAGGAUGCUAAUCUCAAAAAGCCGAUCGUAGUCCGGAUUGGAGUCUGCAACUCGACUCCAUGA